GGAAAUCAAUUAGGCAUGCCUAUGUUAUUCAGGCCUAAGGCAAUUUGGGUAAUGGAGUGAUUUCAGGGUUUCCUAGAAAAGCGGAAUCCUAGCUCCCAGACUGACUGACACCUCAAACUUCUUUAACAGGAGAUGCAAGGUUUUAAUGAUGGCACCUGAAGCAGGAACACCAAGAGAAAAACUGUCUUCAUCUCAGAGGAGGAAGAGGAAGAGAAAGAAGAGGAAAGGGGAAAAGCAGAGAUAUAGACAAUAAUAUGGAGCAAACAAAUAUGGGAAUAUCCUCUGAAGAAUAAAUAAAAGGUUUGGGUUAACA
rnacentral:lncRNA from 1 species